AUCCACAGCUAAGUGAUAACUAAAUGUUCCUAUUCUUCUAGUUGACGGGCAGUAAAUAUUCAAGACAAUGAUGAGGGCAUCAUCCAGUGUGAUAUUCCGGAUGGAAGUCCACACCACAUCAACUGUCACUUUUCCACACCUGCUUUGUGACUCAUGAAGCUGGCCUUCACGGACUGCCCCAACCAGCCUCUCCAGCUCUCUGGUUUCCAGGUAUCCUCUGGAAUACCUGGAAAUAUACAAUAGGAAACACCAUCAUGAGAUAGGAAAACAGGAGAAGAGAGAGAUGAAGAAAACAGGAAGGAAACAGAUUGAGACCUCUGGAAACAGAUAUUGAGACAGAGUUGCAUGCAGAAGAUUUAUUGCGGAGCACGCUUGGGGGAUACACCUAUAAGGAACUUGAUGAAAGCAAAAUGGACACAGAGAGAGGCUGACUCGUGAUACAGCUGCAUCCAGGACAUCAGCUGAUCUUAUAUGGAGAUAGAAUAAACCUUCACAGUUGUCUCAAAUUGAGGCUAGAUGGCUGAGGCUUUGAAUCUCUGCUUCAGCCAGUUACUAGCUGAGAAUCACCUCUGGUGGGAGAUACAACGUUGGGUCAGUCCGUUCUUGGCGGCCCAGUGAAAUUCCCAUAAAAGGUACUUCUGUGAGCCAUCAGCAGUUGACAAUCCUAGCAGCUGGGGGAUGGGGACACUGCUUCAAAAAGUGUCCCCUACAGCCCAUCCUUUGUGCCAUUUAUGUUCACUUGUUUUUCUUAAUAAUUUGCCCCAUUCGGGAUAGCUUCUUCAAGAUCUGUUGCUGCAGUUGAUCUUGAAGCCAUAACUGAUACUCAGUCAUCCCCUUUCUCUGUCAUUCAUUCUAGAUUCUCCUUUCUACAGCUAGCACCAGACCUGGUCUGGGUCAAUUUUUUGGUGAGAUGACCUAAACCCUUGUCUUGGAAGAGUCUGAACCCCUGGUUACCAUGCCCAUCUCACGUGAUGCUACUCUGAAUUAUAAAUAUUACAAGAAUUAUAACACUUGUAGUUUGUGGAAUAUGGACAGCUCCUUGCAUCCUGUGGUAGUACAAUGCUUAAAACUUUCACAGGUGGUGAGCUUGAAUGGCAUGCUGAUAGAAGGGGCCCCACUGGCUGAUACAGUAUUUAAAAUACUAGAAAGGAAACAGGGAAAUUGUAAACAUAAGGGCUGAGAAUUGGGUGGCUGCUGCUGAACUGACUUGAUUCAUUGAAGAGACAUAAUUGGCAGGCUUUCAAUGAUUAAUCAACAAUUAAAAGUGAGAAAGCUUUUAAGAUAAAAUGAUGCCAUUAUCCCUACUUCAAGUUCAACAACCGACUCCAGGCAUUAAAGCAUACUCCAGCCCACCAUUCGAGAUGACAUCAUUUCGGCUGGACGCAGUGGCUCACGCCUGUAAUCCCAGGACUUUGGGAGGCUAAGGCAGGCAGAUCAUCUGAGGUCAGGAGUUUGAGACCAACCUGGCCAACAUAGUGAAACCCUAUCUCUAGUACAACAACAACAACAAAAAAAUUAGCCAGGUGUGGUGGCAGGCACCUUCAAUCCCAGCUACUCAGGAGGCUGAGGCAGGAGAAUUGUUUGAACCCAGGAGGCGGAGGAUACACUGAGCCGAGGUUGUGCCACUUCACUCCAGCUUGGGUGAAAAGAGCAAGACUCCAACUUAAAAAAAAAAAAAGAAAAGAAAAGAAAAGAAAGAAGAGAUGGCAUCGUUUCUCUGGAACUUAGUUCCUUUAUAAUUUAAUAUGUGCACAACUCUCCAGUAAACUUAGAGGAAAACUUUUUUUUCAUUUUUUGUUGUAAUAGCAGUAUAGUGGUUUUAAAAUUAUGUCCAUGAAUUCUUUCAAACUCUCUCCUUCAAGAGGUAAAAUUUAAUUUUCACCUACUUGAAUAUGGGCUGGAUUAGGGACAUACUUCUGAUGAAUGAAAUAGGGCAAAAGUGGUGGCAUGUACCUACUGAGAUUCAGUUAUACGAAGACUGCAUUUUC
rnacentral:lncRNA from 10 species